rnacentral:rRNA from 1 species
GGACUACCGGGGUUUCUAAUCCCGUUCGCUCCCCUAGCUUUCGCACCUCAGCGUCAGCGACCAGCCAGGACCCUGCCUUCGCCUUUGGUGUUCCUCCGGAUAUCUACGCAUUUCACCACUCCACCCGGAAUUCCAGGUCCCUCUCUGGCCCUCAAGUCCCACCGUCUGUCGCACCCUCGGGCAGUUAAGCCACCCGCUGUCACGCGACACGCGCAGGACCGCCUGCGUGCCCUUUACGCCCAGUAACUCCGGACAACGCUCGCCCCCUACGUAUUACCGCGGCGGCUGGCAC